rnacentral:rRNA from 1 species
CCUACGGGUGGCAGCAGUGGGGGAUAUUGGACAAUGGGGGUAACCCUGAUCCAGCGACGCCGCGUGCGUGAAGAAGUCUCUCGGUAUGUAAAGCUCUGUCAGCAGGGAAGAAAGAAAUGACGGUACCUGACCAAGAAGCCUCGGCUAACUACGUGCCAGCAGCCGCGGUAAUACGUAGGGGGCAAGCGUUAUCCGGAAUUACUGGGUGUAAAGGGAGCGUAGACGGUUAGUUAAGUCUGGAGUGAAAGGCCGGGGCUCAACCACGGGACUGCGCUGGAAACUAUUUAACUUGAGUGCGGGGAAGGUACGCGGAAUUCGUGGUGUAGCGGUGAAAUGCGUAGAUAUUAGGAGGAACACCGGUGGCGAAGGCAGCAUACGGGAGUGUAACUGACGUUGAAGCUCGAAGGCGUGGGGAGCGAACAGGAUUAGAUACCCGUGUAGUC